rnacentral:rRNA from 1 species
CCUACGGGAGGCAGCAGUCGAGAAUCAUUCACAAUGGGGGAAACCCUGAUGGUGCGACGCCGCGUGGGGGAAUGAAGGUCUUCGGAUUGUAAACCCCUGUCAUGUGGGAGCAAAUUAAAAAGAUAGUACCACAAGAGGAAGAGACGGCUAACUCUGUGCCAGCAGCCGCGGUAAUACAGAGGUCUCAAGCGUUGUGCGGAAUCACUGGGCGUAAAGGGUGCGUAGGCUGUUUCGUAAGUCGUGUGUGAAAGGCGCGGGCUCAACCCGCGGACGGCACAUGAUACUGCGAGACUAGAGUAAUGGAGGGGGAACCGGAAUUCUCGGUGUAGCAGUGAAAUGCGUAGAUAUCGAGAGGAACACUCGUGGCGAAGGCGGGUUCCUGGACAUUAACUGACGCUGAGGCACGAAGGCCAGGGGAGCGAAAGGGAUUAGAUACCCUUGUAGUC